rnacentral:rRNA from 1 species
CGCGUAGGUGGUUGCGUAAGUCGGAUGUGAAAUCCCCAGGCUUAACCUGGGAACUGCAUCCGAUACUGCAUGACUCGAGUGCAGCAGAGGGAAACGGAAUUCCUGGUGUAGGGGUGAAAUUCGUAGAUAUCAGGAGGAACACCGGUGGCGAAGGCGGUUUCCUGGGCUGACACUGACACUGAGGCGCGAAAGCGUGGGUAGCAAACAGGAUUAGAUACCCUGGUAGUCCACGCUGUAAACGGUGAGUGCUGGGUGUGGGAGGUGUAAUGCCUUCUGUGCCGAAGCUAACGCGUUAAGCACUCCGCCUGGGGAGUACGGCCGCAAGGUUGAA